rnacentral:rRNA from 1 species
AUGCACAGCGGCCUCCUUGCUCGGCCCCCUCAGCUCGCCCCCUUCUCCGGCGCCGCGUCACCGCCAGCUGCUCUCCCCUGCCGUCGGACCCCAUGGGCGCGCCCGGGUCUAGGCGCGUCGACGCCGACGCCCCGGCGGCUGUGUCGCCGGAACCCCUGCGGCGCGGCGAAGACGGAGAGGCCCGACCGCCACGGCUUCCGCUUCGCCGCCGCCGGCCAGCUCUCCAGCUCCAGUCCACCCCAACGUGAGAAGCUGCAGGUUGCUGCGUCCACAUCGAAAGCCGCCGUGCAGCUACAAAAUGGUCUUUCACUUCAGAGCAGUCGAUACGUCAUCCCCGAAGAUGUUAGAGCGGCAGGGUUUCAGAUCGACGCCGAUGAACUGACAUCCAUGGUCGAAAGCCGUGACACUGAAAGGCUGACCGAGCACGGACAGUUAGGUGGGAUCGCGGACAAGCUAACGACAUCGUUGACCGAUGGGAUAAGCACGUGCGAGGACCUCUUGGUGCAGAGGCAGGAAAUUUAUGGAGUAAACAAGUUCGCUGAGAGCGAGCCUCGCAGCUUCUGGGAGUUUGUAUGGGAUGCACUGCAAGAUACUACUCUGAUAAUCCUUGCUGCCUGUGCUUUUGUCUCUUUGACUGUUGGCAUUGCCACGGAAGGCUGGCCGAACGGCUCCCAUGAUGGCAUCGGAAUCUUCGCGAGUAUCAUCCUGGUUGUUUCUGUUACCGCGACAAGUGACUACCAGCAGUCUUUGCAAUUCAGGGACCUGGACAAAGAGAAGAGGAAAAUUCUUGUUCAGGUUACAAGGGACGGGUUCAGGCAAAGGACAUUGAUAGAUGAUCUUCUUCCCGGUGACGUCGUCCAUCUAGCUGUUGGAGAUCAGGUUCCUGCAGAUGGUGUAUUUAUUUCCGGGUUUUCUCUGUUGUUGGAUGAGUCCAGUCUAACUGGAGAGAGUGAGCCUGUUGAUGUAAAUGAAGACAAGCCUUUUCUUUCAUCAGGGACCAAAGUCCUAGAUGGGUCUGGCCAAAUGCUGGUUACAGCGGUCGGGAUGCGGACACAAUGGGGAAAGCUAAUGGCUGCUCUCACUGAAGGUGGGAAUGAUGAAACUCCGCUUCAGGUUAAACUUAGUGGAGUUGCAAAUAUUAUUGGGAAAAUCGGCCUGUUUUUUGCUGUAUUAACUUUCGUUGUCCUCUCCCAAGAAUUAAUUGGCCAGAAAUAUCAUGAUGGGCUUCUUUUGAGCUGGUCAGGAGAUGAUGUUUUAGAGAUAUUGAAUCAUUUUGCUGUCGCGGUUACAAUUGUUGUCGUUGCUGUGCCUGAGGGGUUGCCAUUAGCAGUCACACUGAGCCUUGCCUAUGCAAUGGAGAAGAUGAUGAAUGAUAAGGCACUGGUCCGGCAGUUGGCUGCCUGCGAAACUAUGGGAUCAGCCACAGUCAUUUGCAGUGAUAAAACAGGAACACUAACAUCCAAUCGCAUGACUGUUGUGAAGGCCUGCAUCUGUGGGAAUACCGUGGAAGUUAACGGUCCGCUGGUUCCUUCUAGUUUGUCUUCAAAACUCCCAGAAGUUGCAGUAGAAACUCUUCUAGAAUCCAUACUCACCAACACUGGCGGUGAAGUCGUGAUUGACCAAGAUGGAAAGCAAGAUAUAAUAGGUACCCCUACUGAGACAGCUUUGUUGGAAUUUGCACUGUCAUUAGGUGGAAACUAUAAACGAAAACGGCAGGAAACUAAGAUUGUUAAAGUGGAGCCUUUUAAUUCAGUAAAAAAGAGGAUGACUGUUAUUCUCGAGCUUCCAGAAGGAGGAUACCGUGCACAUUGUAAGGGUGCUGCAGAAAUAGUAUUGGCUGCCUGUGAUAAGUUCAUAGACGGCAGCGGUAGUAUAGUUCCCCUUGAUGAGAAAACUGCCAACAUGCUCAAUGAUACCAUUGAAACCUUUUCGAGUGAAGCUCUUAGGACACUAUGCCUUGCCUACAGGGGAUUGGAAGAUGGCUCUACUCAAGAGGAAAUACCACUACAGGGAUACACCUUCAUUGGCAUUGUUGGUAUUAAAGAUCCUGUGCGUCCGGGUGUCAGGGAGUCUGUGGCAAGUUGCCGGUCUGCUGGCAUUGCGGUUAAAAUGGUUACAGGGGACAAUAUUAAUACAGCAAAGGCAAUUGCUUGUGAAUGUGGUAUACUUACUGAUGGCGGUCUUGCCAUUGAAGGUGCUGAGUUCAGAGAGAAAACACCUGAAGAACUCCUUGAGCUGAUUCCCAAAAUGCAGGUGCUAGCCCGAUCGUCGCCACUUGAUAAGCUUGCACUUGUGAAGCACUUGCGCACAACUUCCAAUGAAGUUGUUGCUGUGACUGGUGAUGGCACUAAUGAUGCACCUGCGCUGCGUGAGGCGGAUAUUGGACUUGCCAUGGGCGUUGCAGGGACUGAGGUGGCGAAAGAGAGCGCUGAUGUCGUGAUUCUGGAUGACAACUUCUCCACGAUUGUUACUGUUGCGAAAUGGGGACGCUCUGUUUACGUCAACAUCCAAAAGUUUGUGCAGUUCCAGUUGACUGUUAAUAUUGUUGCAUUACUGGUCAACUUCUCCUCUGCGUGCUUUACAGGAGAUGCGCCGCUGACAGCCGUUCAACUUCUUUGGGUCAACAUGAUCAUGGACACCCUAGGUGCGCUAGCACUUGCCACCGAACCACCUAACGAUAACUUGAUGGAGAAAGCACCAGUAGGAAGGACAGGGAAGUUCAUCACAAACGUGAUGUGGAGGAAUAUUCUGGGGCAGUCGUUGUACCAAUUCACCAUCAUCUGGUAUCUACAAAGUCAAGGGAGAUAUGUGUUUGGGCUUGAAGGCUCCAAGGCUGAUACUGUCCUAAAUACAAUCAUAUUCAACACCUUCGUCUUCUGCCAGGUGUUCAAUGAGGUCAGCUCAAGGGAGAUGGAGGAGAUCAAUGUUCUGAAGGGCAUGUUGGAGAACUCUAUUUUCGUGGGCGUUCUCACCGGCACUGUCGUCUUCCAGUUCAUCCUGGUCCAGUUCCUGGGCGACUUUGCCAACACCACCCCGCUGACCCAGCUCCAGUGGCUCGUCUGCAUCCUCUUUGGCUUCCUUGGAAUGCCCAUUGCCGCCAUGAUCAAGCUCAUUUCUGUAGAACCUCAUGAAGAACACGACGGUUAUGGAAAGUUGUAG